CUCCUACGGGCGGCAGCAGUAAGGAAUAUUGGUCAAUGGACGCAAGUCUGAACCAGCCAUGCCGCGUGGAGGAUGAAGGCCCUCUGGGUUGUAAACUCCUUUCGAUCGGGACGAUAAUGACGGUACCGGAAGAAGAAGCCCCGGCUAACUUCGUGCCAGCCGCCGCGGUAAUAC
rnacentral:rRNA from 1 species